GAUGAAGAACGUAGCGAAAUGCGAUAAGUAAUGUGAAUUGCAGAAUUCAGUGAAUCAUCGAAUCUUUGAACGCACAUUGCGCCCGCCAGUAUUCUGGCGGGCAUGCCUGUUCGAGCGUCAUUUCAACCAUCAAGCCCCCCGGCUUGUGUUGGGGACCUGCGGCUGCCGCAGGCCCUGAAAAGCAGUGGCGGGCUCGCUGUCACACCGAGCGUAGUAGAUCUCAUCUCGCUCAGGGCGUGCUGCGGGUUCCGGCCGUUAAACCACCUUUAUAACCCAAGGUUGACCUCGGAUCAGGUAGGAAGACCCGCUGAACUUAAGCAUAUCAAUAAGCGGAGGA
rnacentral:misc_RNA from 1 species